CCGUUGUUGAAGUCCUCAACCUUCCGCUCGCUCAUGGCUCAGAGGUGGGGUGGACAACAAAAUUGACUUUUAAUGAACAUACAUCAAUAUGCGAAAAGUAGUAUUGGAGAGAGUAUAAGAUGUACCACAAUUCAGAUAUCCUGUGGCCAACACAGCCAGAACUUAAUCAGAUCACUGGAAUUUACUGCAAGUACCUGAAAGAGAGUGGUUACUGAACCUAACAGCAAGAAACUUGUGUACAGAAGCAAAGCAAAGGCAAUUAGCCCAGUUGUGACCAUUUUGUAACUUAGCAUACCGUGGUGGCCUUGAUCAGCGUAAAAGAGAGAAAUCAAUCAGUUAAGAAUGAGGAAAAAUUGAAAUGGUGUUUAGAGUUUAAAGAGAGAGGAGAUAAUGAGAAACUGUCAUCCAAAAAAAAGUUUGGGCCUGGAGUUUCCAAUUCAGAACAUUUUUGUAAAUUAAAAAAAAAUGUCAUGCUUUCAUUAAGAGGAGACGAAAAGAAACAGAUAACCUAGAGUAUUUGCUGUAACAGGACGAUUCUUCCUGCCUCUCAAGGAUGCUGAAAAUUCUACUCAACUCCCCGCCACCACCACCACCACCACGAAGUUGUUUUCUGGUUCUGAGAGUAAAAGUGUUUCCCAAACUAUGUAUUCCAUCCUCCCUGGUAGCACAGACAUGAAAAUGAAAUUGAAGAGACACCCUAACGCCUGCACUUCUGUCUGUGUGCACAUGGGAAAUGACUGCACUCAGAUUUCACUGCAGCUGAAGAAAACAGAAAUUAUUUUCUGUACCUACUGAUUAUCCCUUAGAACAUGAGAGGCUGCAUUUACAGUAACUAGAGGAAGACAUAGAGCUAGAAUUUGAAUAAGCAGAUGUGAAAAUCAGUGUUUCAAAGUUACUCUUUGGAUUCUUUAUUUCUGUUAAGGUAAUCUGGAAUCUACUUGUCACAGUUUGUAGAUUUUAUGAUGCAAUUUUUGUCCAGUAAUUUUAGCAAAAACAUAUUGAAGAUGUAUAUUGUCCUGAUGAGAACUGGAGCGAGAUGGUGGAGAAAGGAGCCAUCUAAGAUUCAUGCAAUGGAUUUUCAAAUCCAAUGACUGUUUAUGAAAAUAAUUUUGUACCCUCAGCAUCUAUGUUCAAUGCAGCUGAAAUCUUCCCAGAGCGAAGAAAUGCAUCAAAAAAGAAAAAGGAAAUGAAGAAAGAGGGAAGAAAAGAGAAAAAAGAAAGGAAACAGAUUUUACUUUUAGCUCAUCUUCAGAUUUGCAAGAGACAAUAAGUGAGAUUCAU
ensembl:lncRNA